AGGUAAGCAGUCAGACUCCCAGCUGCCAUGUGACGUUGUUGUCCAUCCGCGCACAGAUUUGAGGAAACCGGCUACUUUUGUCUGUAGCUCCAGGAAACGAUCACAUCUGUCAUCGAUCCGGUCGAGUUUGAUCGAUCCUCAGCAAUGGAUAAAUUAAAAUCGGUUUUAAGUGGAGAAGAGUCGCGCAGAGAUGACCGGACCGUCUUAGAGACCGUGAACGAGGCCUCCACUCUGGGCUGGGGCACACGUUUGAAGGGAUUCAUCGCCUGUUUUGUGGUGGGGGCCGCCUGCACCAUUUUGGGAGUUUGUAUGCUCUUCAUCCCCAGGAUCGGACUCAUGCUCUUCAUCGUCUUUUACACUUUUGGAAACAUAUGUGCUCUGUGCAGCACCAUGUUUCUGAUGGGGCCACUGAAGCAGCUGAAGAGGAUGUGUGACAAAACAAGAGCCCUGGCCACCACUAUCAUGAUUACUUGCCUUGUGUUGACUCUCUGUGCAGCCUUCUGGUGGAAGAACUUUGGACUUGCUUUGUUAUUUUGCAUCUUGCAAGUCUUGUCAUUUUCCUGGUACAGCCUGUCGUACAUCCCCUGCGCGAGGGAGGCGAUAAUGAAGAUGGUGGCGAUCUGCUUGAAAUGAGCCCAGUUUCUGUGCGAAAGGUUCAGGCUGGAUGAAGCGAAGGGGGCAGGUCUCUCACUGAAGUCACUGAAACAGCCUUGAUGUGGUUCUGCCUCAGAGAGUCCGGGACUCUUCUGUUUCUUUUUCUUUUAUGCUUCAUUAAUUGAGCUGAUUGAGUUUUGGAAGGUGUCCACACUGAAAACUGAAUGACCACUGCCAACAGAAGGAGGAGCUCAUGUAUGGACAAAGGAGACUGCAUGUACUUCCUUAGUUCUGAAACGGGCUGUGGUGGUGAUGAUGAUGAUGAUGAUGAUGCCAAGAAAACCACUUCCAGUUCAUCUUCCUCUUGUGAGAGGACAAACCAGCCAUUUAGACAUUUAUUUAGUGUGUUAUUCUCUGUCCUCAGUGUUCACAGGUUCAGUUUCUUGCCUUUUACUUCAUUUCUACUGUUGUUGAUAGAUGAUAGUAAUAACAGUUUUAAGAACAGAAGCUAUAAAGAUUACACUGGAAUUAAGUUGUGGAUCAACUCUAGCACAGUCACCACCUUCACAGGUGACAGUAUUUACCAGUUUAACAUCAAAACGUUAUUCAGUAUCAAACAGCUAGAACUGACUGACCAGAAGUGCAACCUGGAGCAAAACCAGACUCUUCAUAGAUGUGAUGCUGUUUCCUCAUAGGUGUAUGUAUUAGCCUUACACACUGUUUAGUGUGAACUGAGAAUUGACAGUUAAGAUUUUGAAGCAGUUGUCAGUGUAGUACAGCUCAUGUACAUUAGUUUCAUUCAUAACUUAGUUAUUGUCAUUGAAAAGGUUUUUAAUAAAUAAACCUACUGUGAUUAACUUGUA